rnacentral:lncRNA from 1 species
UCAAGCCUACAUUUUGAUAGAAAACUUCAUUUAAUAUUAAAAAAAAAAAUUCCGAAUUAACACUACAGGAUAAAUAACCGUCUAAUAAAUUACCAAUCGUUUCUAAUACAAGUGGUAAAUGAUUUGAUGAUUGAUAUACUUAAGGUCCCAAACUCAAAGCCUGCUUACAUCACAUUUCCAACUUAAUUUAUUUCCGUAAGAAAAUGAAACGAAACAGAAAUCUGACUAUUAUUCUCUCAAACAAAAAA